GCCCUUGUGGGCCUUGAGGUGGCAGUCCUAUGGAGGCGGUGGUAGGGCUUUCCCCCCACCCCGAUUCAGUACUCAGCUGGUCUCAAGGGGCUUUGAGUGUGGCUUUUGCCUCCUUAACUGGAUGCUGAAUAGGCUCCUUGCACUUAUUUUGGGACUCAGUUGUGCCUGUGCCCAGCACAGGGUGUGCUGCUGGUGAAUCACAAGAAGCUGAUGAACAGCUUGUAGCAGAAGUGGUUGAAAAAUGUUCAUCUAAGACUUGUUCUAAACCUUCAGAAAAUGAAGUGCCACAGCAGGCCAUUGACUCUCACUCAGUCAAGAAUUUCAAAGAAGAACCUGAACAUGAUUUUAGCAAAAUUUCCAUCGUGAGGCCAUUUUCAAUAGAAACGAAGGAUUCCACGGAUAUCUCGGCAGUCCUCGGAACAAAAGCAGCUCAUGGCUGUGUAACUGCAGUCUCAGGCAAGGCUCUGCCUUCCAGCCUGCCAGACGCCCUCCAGGACGAGGCGAUGACAGAAGGCAGCAUGGGGGUCACCCUCGAGGCCUCUGCAGAAGCUGAUCUAAAAGCUGGCAACUCCUGUCCAGAGCUUGUGCCCAGCAGAAGAAGCAAGCUGAGAAAGCCCAAGCCUGUCCCCCUGAGGAAGAAAGCAAUUGGAGGAGAGUUCUCAGACACCGACGCUGCUGUGGAGGGCACAUCUCUCCCCAAGGCAUCCUACCACUUCAGUCCUGAAGAGCUGGAUGAGAACACAAGUCCUUCUUUGCUAGAAGGUGCCAGGUUCCAGAAAUCUCCCCCUGACCUUAAAGAAACUCCCGGCACUCUCAGUAGUGACACCAACGACUCAGGGGUUGAGCUGGGGGAGGAGUCGAGGAGCUCACCUCUCAAGCUUGAGUUUGAUUUCACAGAAGAUAUGGGAAACAUAGAGGCCAGGAAAGCCCUUCCAAGGAAGCUUGGCAGGAAACUGGGUAGCAAACUGAUUCCCAAGAUACAAAAAGAUGGCAUCAGUAAGUCAGCAGGUUUAGAACAGCCUAUAGACCCAGUGGCACGAGACGGGCCUCUCUCCCAAACAUCUUCCAAGCCAGAUCCUAGUCAGUGGGAAAGCCCCAGCUUCAACCCCUUUGGGAGCCACUCUAUUCUGCAGAACUCCCCACCCCUCUCUUCUGAGGGCUCCUACCACUUUGACCCAGAUAACUUUGACGAAUCCAUGGAUCCCUUUAAACCAACUACGACCUUAACAAGCAGUGACUUUUGUUCUCCCACUGGUAAUCACGUUAAUGAAAUCUUAGAAUCACCCAAGAAGGCAAAGUCGCGUUUAAUAACGAGUGGCUGUAAGGUGAAGAAGCAUGAAACUCAGUCUCUCGCCCUGGGUGCAUGUUCUCAGGAUGAAGGGGCAGUGAUCUCCCAGAUUUCAGACAUUUCUAAUAGGGAUGGCCAUGCUACUGAUGAGGAGAAACUGGCAUCCACGUCAUGUGGUCAGAAAUCAGCUGGGGCCGAGGUGAAAGGUGAGCCAGAGGAAGACCUGGAGUACUUUGAAUGUUCCAAUGUUCCUGUGUCUACCAUAAAUCAUGCGUUUUCAUCCUCAGAAGCAGGUAUGGAAGCAUAUCUUCAUCUUUCUAAUGUACAUAAGCAUGGAAAUGCCUGAAAGCCUAAUAAAGCAGGAGGCGCCUUACAGAGAUUAAAGAAUUGGGUCACUUGAAGGAUAGAUUUAGGAUGCUGACCUAUGCUUUGCUUCUUUACCUGGAAAAGGGACACAAAAAAAGUGCUUACUGAAGUACUAGGAACAUAGGGAUGCUUGUGACAAGUUGUAUAGGAGAUGCUGAUGUAUGUGAGACUGCUUGAAUUUCUUUAUAAUUUUAUGUGAAUAUGGCCAUAUCUUAAAGUAUAGUGGUGUGUUAGUUCAUUUGCGUUGCUGUAAAGGAAUACCUGAGAAUAGCUAAUUUAUAGGAAAAAGAGGUUGAUUUGGUUCAUGGUUCUGCAGACUGUAGAAUAAGCAUGGCACCAGUGCCUGCUUCUGGUGAGGGACUCGGGAAGCUUCCAAUCAUGGUGGAAGGCAAGGGCGAGCAAGUGUGUCACAUGGCGAGAGGUGGGAGAAAGAUGUGGGAGGAGGAUGCCAGGUUAUUUUUAACAAACAUCUCACAGAAACUAACAGCAAGAAGUCACUCAUUACCACAAGGAGGGCACCAAGCUAUUCAUGAGGGAUCCGCUCCUAUGACCCAGCCACCUCCCAUUAGGCCUCACUUCCAACUGUUGAUCAGGUUUCAACAUGAGAUUUAGGGGGCAAGUA
rnacentral:sRNA from 1 species